CAGGCCAGCUUCAACUUGGCCCUGGCCAGCUGUGUGACUUUGGCUUCUGCAAUGAGAGAGCAGGAGCCAAAUGACCAAUGAGACUGGGCAGAAAAAUUCUGCACUCAAGUGGGCCGUCAGAGGAGAAGAGGGCUUAAGGACUGCAGAUGGCUUGGGCUUCUCAGCCAACCCAUUUCUUUUCUUUCCAGAGCUGAAACAGUGAUUAAGGGGGAAAUGUACAAGUUAUUGAAGUGCUGGCGACAGGACGGUGAUUAAAUAGACAUUUAUAUAAGGGACAUGAAAAGACCUCUACCAGUAAUUUGACUUGAGGGAAAUUAGUUUAGAGAAUCAAAUGUAAACCCUGCUCAGGUCUGUAGAUAUCCAAAUUGACCAAUGUCAAGCUUAUUCUGAUAGUGGCUCUUUGGGGGCCACUGUGGCCAGUCAGAAAGUCAUCAAUCAGAUGUCGGCCCAAUUGAAAAGGACUGGUGGAUUAACCAGGCUAUUAGCUUUGUGUGACGGUUGCUUUCAUUCUCCUAAGUGAUUUGCUUGGAUCAGUUACUCAGAUUCAAUCAGCCAAUGCUCAUUAAGUGCCUACUAUGUGAGCGAGGCCCUGACCCACAAAGAUGACCAUAAAUCCCAUCUGUUUCUGGCCAAGAGGCCCACAAAGAUCCAUGUGCUCCAUCAAGGUGGGUAGGGCGAAAAGGAGCUAUCUAUCAUAUAACGAGUGGGGUUGGGGUUUGUGUUGGACACUGUCUCACCACAGUCACAUUCAUCUGUACCAGAAUCAAGUCAGUGUUACGGAAGCCACUGUACAGAUGAGGAAACCGAGGUUCAGGGGAGACACAAGGUCACACAGCUGAGAGACAGCACAGUCAGGGUUCAGCCCAAACUGCAUGCACUGCACACCUGAUGUUUUUUUCCUACGACUCCACUCUGACAACCCCCAGACCUGGUCAUAAGGACAAACGCUCCAACUAAGAGUGUCGCUCACAGCCUCCCAAGCCUUCGCCUGGAGCUUUUUUGGCUGCCUGUGGCUUUUGAACUCCAAGACUCGUCCUGAGUUCCAAGGCCCGCAAACCUGAGAAGGAAAAGCAGUUCUUAAGAGCACGGGAUCAAUAAUGAACUUGCAUUUUCCUGCUCCCGACAGCCAAACUUGGUUGUAGAUCUACGGCAGGGAAUCUACCGGGGGAGCUGAGAAAAACUUUAAAUCCUGCCACCCUCUGAAGCGAAUGACCAUUUUCAUUCUUUCAAGGACACUGAUAACUUGAAGACCUGGAGAAGGCAAUGUUACCAUAUUGAGAUCCAGCUCAGGCCCGUGCUAACAGAUGACUCACUCGUAAUUGGAACAUGAAUUGUUGGUAAAACAAAUAGAGGCUGCUAACGUACUGGGGAAGUUUGUUCUCCUGAGCAUGUCAAAUAUCUCCCCUGACACCAUUUUUUAUACUAUUAAUUUGCUUAGUAAAUUGUUUUCUCGGAUUCCACACACAUUUAUUGAGCUCCUACUCUCUGCCCGGCACUUUUACAUCCAUUAUUUUAUUUCAGCCUGACACUGCUGGACGGCAGAGGAAAGUCUCCCUUUCCCUCGGGUAUAGGUAAGGAAACCAAGGCACAGAGCAGGGUGGUACCUCACCCAAGAUCAUAGAGAGAAGUGCUGGUCUCAGGGUCCCAAAGUCAAGGUGGUUUGCACCCGCCACAUUGAAGUUGCAGCUUUGGCCAGACAAACCGGCUUUCUCAUCCUUAGCCUCGAUUUAUUCCACCUGGAGUGGAAGUUGCAAUACACGUUCCCGUCUCGUUUCAUUCUGGUGGCAAUGGAGGGUGCUUAUUGCGCUCUGCUGGCUGCCUGACUCCAGGGAGGGGAGUGACUUGCCUAGGGUCACAGAGCACAGGAAUGGAAGAAGAGCCAGAAUUUGAAAUCGGGUUGCCUAAGGCACCCUAUACCCCUAGCCCCUCUAUUCUUGGCAGGAAUAGGCUUGAGGGGAUUUUACCUAUGCUGAAAGAUUUUCUUAGGGAGAAAAAGGGACAGAUGUGUGAGCAACUCCUUCAGCAGUGAAAGAAAGGGACUGCUGAGAGCUGGUGUUGUGGCACCUUCCUGAAUCUGUCCAGGACCCCAUCGUCUUUCCCUUCCCCUUAGGCAGGUCUGUUCCAGUGCAAUCCAAAGGGCUGGGGGGUGACUGGGGAGCCCUGCAGGGUGGACGGACAUGCUUCUCCACCUUCAGCAUGCCAGAUGCCUAGUCCCUGAUUCCUAAUAGGGGCGGGGCUUCCAUUUGUAUUUCUAACAAGCUCCUGGGUGAGGCUGAUGCUGCUAUUCUUUGGAUCACAAUUUGGCAGACAGGCUGUGGGUUCCUGGAAGCCCCCUGAAACCUGAGAAUGAGGGACCAGCAUAGCUGUCAAUCAUGUCAAAUUCACUGUCUGUAAGAGUUAUUCGGGAUGCAUCCUAUAGGGAGGGAAGAAAGGGAGCCCAGGGAGGGACAUGUGCUUCCCAGGGAACCCAGGAAGAUGUGCAAAACAGAUGCAUCAUUGUUCCAAGGCGGCCCCUGCUACCCCAGAGCAGGACCAACAGAGGACUUGAACCAAAUCAAAGUGCAAAAGCCCUGUGGUAGGCUGAAUAAUGAAUGGCCCCUUACAGAUGGCCAUGUCCUCAGCCCUAGAUGAGGCUGGUGAAUAUGUUACCUUUGCAGAUGGGAUUCAAUGAAGGACUUUUGAGCUUGGGAGAUUAUUCUGGAUUAUCUUGGUGGACCCCAAUACAACCAAGGGUCCUUCUAACUGAGAAAGGGACACAGUAGAGUCAGAAGGAGAAGAGAUAUAACCAUGGAAGUAGAAGUCAGAGAAUCAGAGAGAGAUUUGAAGACAUCGAGCUGUUGAUGGCUUUGGAAAUGGAGGAGGUGGCCAUGUGUCAAAGAGUGGGGGCUGUCCCUAGAAGCCGGAAAGACAAGGAAAUAGGUUCUACCCUGAAGGCUCCAGAAACAACAACACAUCCCUGCCCAUCCUUUGGUCAGAGCCAGUAAAAUUCAUUUUGACUCCAGCCAACAGGAUAGUAAAUUUGUGUUGUUUGAAGCUACUAAGAUUCCUGGUGAUUUGUUAUAGCAGCACUAGGAAACAAACAAACAAACAAACAAAAAACAUGCUUCACUUGUUUCUGAUAUAUGAAAUAUUUUCCGUUACAGACCUGAAUCCACAUAAUGAAUCAGGCUAGGUGGUUUUGGAGCAGAGUCUGCCUAAAAAUUGGGGAAAUAAAAGGAUUGGUAACAAACAUUCAUCUAGUUAAAAAAAAAAAAAUAGCACGGGAAUAUUUUGACCACACAUUGAUGCAAGUUUGAGAAUUUGGACCCCUGAAAUUUGGAAAAAAAGACCACCAGGAGGGGGCACAAAGAUUUCUCAGGAGUCAGACAGACUCAUAUUCAAAUCCUAGCUCUGCCAGGUAUUAAUAAGGGAGAGCUGGUGGCGGGUGGGGGAGCUUAUCAUCAUCAGGACUCGGACUCCUCAUUUGUAAAACAUGGAUGGUACCUUCCUGGCAGGAUUGUUGUGAAAUUUAAGUAUAGUAUAUUAAUCUUUUGAAAGAUUAUUUAUGGAGAGCCAGCCAUGGGCUAAUGUCAGCAGAUAAAAGUUAAGUAUAAAUACAGAAAGUGCUCCUACUCUUCAGCACAUAAAAGCACUGUGCCAAUGUACAGGUACUAGAUAACUAGGAUCUAUCACUCAUGUCCUCAUCAGCAAGGCCCAGGGGGGAAAAGGCUUGCACAUGUUGUCCCACAAUGCUAGCCAGGAAGCAUCGAGAGGUUUUCCCAUUGCUCCUCUCUGGGUGGGUGGGAGCCUUUUGACUUUUCUUGCCCUUUAGCACUCUGGCCAAAAUUAAAAAUCAGAGAGGGAAAAUCCCAGCUGCCCAAGGUCACACUGUGAGUCACUGGAGAGCCCGAGGUAGGCUGUGGGUGUACUUGUGUUUAAGCCUCCCUCCCGAUGAUCAUUUCUUUUCACCGCAGAAUCAGUCUCUCUGAACUCUCUUCUGCCAGUAUAUGUAUUCUGGCCAUCCCCUUCUGAUUCUGAUGGCAUAUCUGAUCUGAAUGUUGUUGAUACUCUGAUCUCUGGAAGUGAAGGGUUUAAUCUUCUCUUGGAACCCCUCCCAAGGAAAAUUAUUUUCCCACUUUGAAAUGGCACGGGCAUCCACUGUGAACUCACAUCCAUAAAUCUGCCGCGACGGCUCAGGAAAGCAGAUGAGGUUUGAUUCUGCUCCUCAGCACAGUCUCACCGAGCAAAUUAUGGAAAGAAUUUGAUUUAUAGAAGCACCUCAAAGGCUCUGGAGUGAGACGCGUGUUUAUUCACUUUAUUACCAUUUAUUUUACACUAUCUCUUUAUGCUCCCUGCACAUGGAUUGGAAAGACUAUUUGGAUAGAUGCUUGCGGUCUGCCACAUGGCACGGCCCCCGUCGAGGCACAUGGCCGUCUUUGGCGAGGCAGCCGCAGAGGACGGCGGUUGGGGGAUCCUGGUGCCGGUGUUGGGGGAAAAGCCCGGUGGGUGCAGAGAAGGCCAGGGGCGCUGGCCCGGCUCCGCCUGCACGUCCCCAACUCCAUAUUUGCGUGACGCGCAACCAGCUGCAACCCCAGGCUGCGUGCAGGCGGCUUGAUUUAAGAUUCAAAUAUCUCCGAGCAGCUGGGGAUAUUUAACAUCGCAAUAAUUACAUUACAUUUUUUUGACGGUACAUGGAGUGAGAGCCUUUUUUGUUGCUGAAUAUUCCAUGAGCAUCAAAUAUUUUAACCAGCCACGGAAACAGGACUCCAUUUUUCACAUCCAAGUAGUUUCAUUUUUAAAAUUCUGGCUGAGGACGGCAUCUCGGGCUUUCAUCUUUCACCACGUCUUUGGAAGGGCAGGAGUGAGACGUUCCCUCUUCUGCGACAGAGGGACUCAUCUGGAAACCGGUGAAUAGAGAAAUAACAACAGAGUCACAUAACUCCAAAACGAAUCCCCUGCAAACACAAGGCACCAAGGUUUUCUGCAUCCUUUCCUGAUUUUGUGGAUAUCAGUGGACGUGUCCGUGACAGGGUGGAUGCUGCUCUACAACAUGCAAAAAGAAGAUGCUGGCCACUGGGAACCGUUAACGAAUAUUACAAUUAUUCUCUGUUGAAGUCUGGACAAAUCAACUGCAGAGGAGAACUGAGGUUACUGUGUGAUGAUUCAGAUCUCAAAAAAGCAGGUUUUGCUUAA